rnacentral:rRNA from 1 species
UACGUAGGGGGCUAGCGUUGCUCGGAAUCACUGGGCUUAAAGGGCGCGUAGGCGGGCUAUCAAGUCCGGGGUGAAAUCCUCCCGCUCAACGGGAGAACUGCCUCGGAUACUGAUGGUCUCGAGGGGGAUAGGGGCACACGGAACUGUGGGUGGAGCGGUGAAAUGCGUUGAUAUCCAUAGGAACUCCGGUGGCGAAAGCGGUGUGCUGGAUCCCUUCUGACGCUGAGGCGCGAAAGCCAGGGGAGCGAACGGG